rnacentral:rRNA from 1 species
UACAUGCAAGUCGAGCGGACCGACGGGAGCUUGCUCCCUUAGGUCAGCGGCGGACGGGUGAGUAACACGUGGGUAACCUGCCUGUAAGACUGGGAUAACUCCGGGAAACCGGGGCUAAUACCGGAUGCUUGAUUGAACCGCAUGGUUCAAUCAUAAAAGGUGGCUUUCAGCUACCACUUGCAGAUGGACCCGCGGCGCAUUAGCUAGUUGGUGAGGUAACGGCUCACCAAGGCGACGAUGCGUAGCCGACCUGAGAGGGUGAUCGGCCACACUGGGACUGAGACACGGCCCAGACUCCUACGGGAGGCAGCAGUAGGGAAUCUUCCGCAAUGGACGAAAGUCUGACGGAGCAACGCCGCGUGAGUGAUGAAGGUUUUCGGAUCGUAAAACUCUGUUGUUAGGGAAGAACAAGUACCGUUCGAAUAGGGCGGYACCUUGACGGUACCUAACCAGAAAGCCACGGCUAACUACGUGCCAGCAGCCGCGGUAAUACGUAGGUGGCAAGCGUUGUCCGGAAUUAUUGGGCGUAAAGCGCGCGCAGGCGGUUUCUUAAGUCUGAUGUGAAAGCCCCCGGCUCAACCGGGGAGGGUCAUUGGAAACUGGGGAACUUGAGUGCAGAAGAGGAGAGUGGAAUUCCACGUGUAGCGGUGAAAUGCGUAGAGAUGUGGAGGAACACCAGUGGCGAAGGCGACUCUCUGGUCUGUAACUGACGCUGAGGCGCGAAAGCGUGGGGAGCGAACAGGAUUAGAUACCCUGGUAGUCCACGCCGUAAACGAUGAGUGCUAAGUGUUAGAGGGUUUCCGCCCUUUAGUGCUGCAGCAAACGCAUUAAGCACUCCGCCUGGGGAGUACGGUCGCAAGACUGAAACUCAAAGGAAUUGACGGGGGCCCGCACAAGCGGUGGAGCAUGUGGUUUAAUUCGAAGCAACGCGAAGAACCUUACCAGGUCUUGACAUCCUCUGACAACCCUAGAGAUAGGGCUUCCCCUUCGGGGGCAGAGUGACAGGUGGUGCAUGGUUGUCGUCAGCUCGUGUCGUGAGAUGUUGGGUUAAGUCCCGCAACGAGCGCAACCCUUGAUCUUAGUUGCCAGCAUUCAGUUGGGCACUCUAAGGUGACUGCCGGUGACAAACCGGAGGAAGGUGGGGAUGACGUCAAAUCAUCAUGCCCCUUUAUGACCUGGGCUACACACGUGCUACAAUGGGCAGAACAAAGGGCAGCGAAGCCGCGAGGCUAAGCCAAUCCCACAAAUCUGUUCUCAGUUCGGAU